rnacentral:ncRNA from 1 species
UAAAUAUUAGUCGUUUAAGAAGAGUAAAAGCAAUGUAGUAUUAAGAGAGUUUUCGGGUGGUGGAAGAAAAUUACAAAUUGCUUUGAAGAUGGUCUUAAAAAAUACAACAAGUGUGAGGAAAAAACUAAGCACUUGUCGGCUGAUAUCCGUUAUCAAGUAUCGAAGUUUAUUAUGAACUUCCUGAGGCUAUUCAUGUGAGUGGAUAGUAAAUUAAGGUGGCACCACGAAAAUACUCGUCCUUAUU